rnacentral:miRNA from 1 species
UGAUAGAAGAGAGUGAGCAC